GCCAGGCUGUGUCACGGUGCUCCCGAGUGAUGGGUUCCGGGUGGAGGGCUGCUCUUGUUUAGUUGCUAAGUCGUGUCCGACUCUUUUGGGACCCUCUGGACCGCCAGGCAAUGAUGGAGGGUUACUCUCCUUCCAAACUUCUGCAAUCAAAUUUCUUUUCUCCAAAGUUCAGUUCUGAAAUUACUCUGGGCUGUGACUGCUGAACAGAAAACAAUGGAGAACACUGGCAACCUCCUGUUGAAACUGAUUCAACUGCCACAUUGGAUAAUUAAUACAUUUCAAUGCAAUUUAUUCAUAUUCUCUGUCUACAAGCAUCAAAUUAAUGAGGGCCCUAUAAACUCAUAGCAUUAUUUCUAACCCUUGAAGUCAGCCAAAUUCAGAGGGCUGAUAAAGAUGAGUUACCAGCAAGAUCCAUUCUGGGAUGGGCAGAGGAGACAAGACAAGAAGACUCGGGUCAGGCUUCACAGACAUUAAACCCCCACGUUUAGGGCUCUAACAUCAGGCACAGAUGAGAUGAUGCACUCAGUUAGAGGAACACUGAUGGGUUGGAAGAAGGGAGCACUGAGCUCUACACCUGGAUCCUCAGACGGGACGCUGCUGCUCCAGGAGUUCGUGUGUGUGCUUGUGUGCUUCCAGUUCAAACACUGUAUACCCGUCUUCUGCACAGCACACAUUUCCACUGAAAACUCUUUUAAAAGCAUUGUUAGAAAUGAGUGUCAAUCUAUACCAUGAUUUUUAUACUUCUGAGUUGAAAUUCAUUAUGAUGCAAUAUUUUAAAGAUGUAACUAGACCAGACCUUCAUUGCUAUGCUCUGGUAUUUAAGGACAUUUCUAGAGGAUAUGCCCUUUGCUCGUCUUUCUACUUUUCUUCCCCCAGAGUUCUCAGUUCUUGCCUUUGUAAUUUUGCCUUAACCCCCCUUUCUGGCUCCCAACGGAUCUGGGGGUUUUAUGUACUUUCCUUGGUACUGGGGCCUUAGUUUUCCUUAUGCUUCCUUGUAUAUAUUCCCCCCCCCCCCAACAACUUCAGCUUUUGGUGUUACCCAAGGAAGGAAUUCUCUUCGUGUGUGCUCAGUCCCUCAGUUGUAUUCGACUCUUU
ensembl:lncRNA